CGAAGUUUUGGUGGUUAUUCGUAAGCAGAUAUAAUCAAUAGUGUGCCUUUUCCUCUUAAUGUGUAGCUACCCAUGGCAGGUAAUUAAAAAUCAUUUUGUAUUAUCUCGUAUAUCUAUUACUUGCUUACAAAUCUCUACACAUUGCUGCUCCGACCUUUCUAUCCUCACAAAUAUGUCCCGUCUAAUCCUCUACACACUGCUGGAGACCUACAUCUAACCUCUGUUCAUAUUCCUACCUCUGAUGCUCACCUUAAAG